rnacentral:rRNA from 1 species
AUGGCUCAGGAUGAACGCUAGCGGCAGGCUUAACACAUGCAAGUCGAGGGGCAACGCGAGUAGCAAUACUUGGCGGCGACCGGCGCAAGGGUGCGUAACGCGUGAGCAACAUGCCCGUAUCAGGGGGAUAAUCCAGGGAAACUUGGUCUAAUACCCCAUAGUAAUUUUGUAAGGCAUCUUAUAAGAUUUAAAGCUUUGGUGGAUACGGAUUGGCUCGCGUGACAUUAGCUGGAUGGUAAGGUAACGGCUUACCAUGGCUAUGAUGUCUAGGGGUUCUGAGAGGAAGGUCCCCCACACUGGAACUGAGACACGGUCCAGACUCCUACGGGAGGCAGCAGUGAGGAAUAUUGGACAAUGGAUGGAAAUCUGAUCCAGCCAUGCCGCGUGAAGGAAGAAGGUCCUAUGGAUUGUAAACUUCUUUUGUAUGGGAGCAAUAAGGCCUACGUGUAGGUUGAUGAGAGUACCAUACGAAUAAGCACCGGCUAACUCCGUGCCAGCAGCCGC